UCUUGAUCGUUCGUGAUAUCCAAAAUGGCGGUUUGUUCAGUGGUUAAUGCUGAUGAAACUCCAGUUUUCAUCAAUAAUAGUAAUGUAACAAGUGAAGGAAUGAGUGCUUGUUGUGAUAAAUUUAAAGUAAAACUACAAAAGACCAUGAUAGAACUAAGAUCAGCACAAAAAAUUAUUGAACUGCUACAAGAAGAGAUGAACUUAAACACGCCCAAUGUGACCCGCCAGAAGAAGUACUGUCCAACAUCAAGACUGAGCCUGAUGACAGCAAACUGGAGCUACAGAUAGCCCUCAAAAAAUCACGGAGACUGAAGCUGCAGGAGGCUGUUACCGAAUCGGAGAACAAUAUAGAAAAGGUGGUAAGAGUCAGUACUGGAGAGAAACUGGGAAGGAAACAUGGAAGGCGGUUCCAUUGUGCUGCAUGCUACAGCAGAAUUCUGCCGUACGUUGGGUGACAUCACCACGUAUGGUUUGGCUGGCAACAGGGAUGAGGACACUCAGGAACUACUUGUGAGUGUAAUACAACCAUCUGCAGAUUUGGGCUUUGAGAGGGAAAUGAUUGAAGAGAAGAAACGUCAGGAAGAAGAAGGCAAACGUGGAGCUUGGAAUUAAGUUGAGAUUGAUAUGAUGAAAAGUUUGGGCAUCGCGAGCAGUACAGUGGUCUGACCUCAGACUUCAGAGAGGAAGAGGAGGGCUACAAACCAGAUGUUAAAUUUGACUACACAGAUGAUGGACAUCUGCUUAAUGUAAAGGAGACUUUCAGGUACCUGUCUCAUAAAUUUCAUGGAAAGGGACCUACAGAAAUAAAGCAGAGAAACAAA